rnacentral:rRNA from 1 species
GCAGUCGAGCGAACUGAUUAGAAGCUUGCUUCUAUGACGUUAGCGGCGGACGGGUGAGUAACACGUGGGCAACCUGCCUGUAAGACUGGGAUAACUUCGGGAAACCGAAGCUAAUACCGGAUAGGAUCUUCUCCUUCAUGGGAGAUGAUUGAAAGAUGGUUUCGGCUAUCACUUACAGAUGGGCCCGCGGUGCAUUAGCUAGUUGGUGAGGUAACGGCUCACCAAGGCAACGAUGCAUAGCCGACCUGAGAGGGUGAUCGGCCACACUGGGACUGAGACACGGCCCAGACUCCUACGGGAGGCAGCAGUAGGGAAUCUUCCGCAAUGGACGAAAGUCUGACGGAGCAACGCCGCGUGAGUGAUGAAGGCUUUCGGGUCGUAAAACUCUGUUGUUAGGGAAGAACAAGUACGAGAGUAACUGCUCGUACCUUGACGGUACCUAACCAGAAAGCCACGGCUAACUACGUGCCAGCAGCCGCGGUAAUACGUAGGUGGCAAGCGUUAUCCGGAAUUAUUGGGCGUAAAGCGCGCGCAGGCGGUUUCUUAAGUCUGAUGUGAAAGCCCACGGCUCAACCGUGGAGGGUCAUUGGAAACUGGGGAACUUGAGUGCAGAAGAGAAAAGCGGAAUUCCACGUGUAGCGGUGAAAUGCGUAGAGAUGUGGAGGAACAC